CUCGUAGGCGGUUCGUCGCGUCCGGUGUGAAAGUCCAUCGCUUAACGGUGGAUCCGCGCCGGGUACGGGCGGGCUUGAGUGCGGUAGGGGAGACUGGAAUUCCCGGUGUAACGGUGGAAUGUGUAGAUAUCGGGAAGAACACCAAUGGCGAAGGCAGGUCUCUGGGCCGUCACUGACGCUGAGGAGCGAAAGCGUGGGGAGCAAACA
rnacentral:rRNA from 1 species